GCACUCGUGGUCCAAGGGUAGGAUUCGAGCCUUCCAAGCUCGCAGCCCGGGUUCGAGUCCCGGCGGGUGCA
rfam:Gregarina niphandrodes unplaced genomic scaffold scaffold00018, whole genome shotgun sequence.